rnacentral:sRNA from 1 species
AGAAGGGUCUGGGCGUGAGCCCGCUUGG